GUAAGAUACAGUUCCAUAUAAUUACAUAACAAAGCAUAUGGUAGCUUAUGUAUAUAGGUCUAUCAUUGUAACAUUAAAGGACCAUGUGACGGACCCGCUGGCACUCCGACCGAGUAUCUUCGUCAAUCGAUGCUCCUAGUGCUUGCUGAGGACUCCAAGCACUCCAACCGACACCAUCAGCACUGCAGACUUAUCCCAUCCCCCAAGCAUGAGCCAAGGCUUCAAGAAAGGGUCAAGCAGGUCU